GACAAGAUCUAAUUGCUCUCGAGCUGAUUUUUAAAGGGGUCGGAUUAAUAGACAGAUAAAAGAAAAACAGCCUGGGUUUGCUCCAGGAACAGAUCUUGCUAAAUCAGCCUUCCAACUACACAUAGAUAUUUUUCCUCUCAUCUUUUCAUGUGUGAAACAUCCACGCAAACAACACAGGAAGCAGCCUAGCCUAGAACCUGAUCCAAAGCUCACGGAUGCCAAUAGACGUACUCAUUGGGCUUUGGACCCAUGCUGGAAGAGCACAAUCUGUCAGACACCUAUACACGCCACAACCGUGCUAGCUACUGAUGAAAGUGAAGUUGAUCAAUUACUGCGG